rnacentral:rRNA from 1 species
CCGGAGGAAGGCGGGGAUGACGUCAAGUCCUCAUGGCCCUUACGGGUUGGGCUACACACGUGCUACAAUGGUGGUGACAAUGGGGAGCGAGGCCGCGAGGCCAAGCCAAUCUCAAAAAGCCAUCUCAGUUCGCAUUGCCCUCUGCAACUCGAGUGCAUGAAGUUGGAAUCGCUAGUAAUCGCGCACCAGCAUGGCGCGGUGAAUACGUUCCCGGGCCUUGUACACACCGCCCGUCACACCAUGGCNAGUUGGUUUUACCCGAACGCCGGUGUGCUAACCGCAAGCGACAGCACGCCGACCACGGUACAGGUCACGCGAUCUGGGGUGAAGUCGUAACAAGGGAAACC